rnacentral:lncRNA from 1 species
CUUUAAUAUUUACCCCAGAUACUGUAACACAUAUCUAAAUUAUAUCUAUUUACAUGGCAAAACAUCAGUGUCAAACACUCUUUCUGAACUAGUGAUCACUAGUGUAAAAAAUCAAAUACUCUUUUUGAAUUAGUAUCAAAAGUCAAACACGUACUCUCUCUGAACUAGUAUCAAAAGUCAAACACUGUCUCUGAACUAGUAUCAAAAGUCAAACACUCUCUCUGAACUAGUAUCAAAAGUCAAUCACAUACUCUCUCUGAACUAGUAUCAAAAGUUAAAACUGUCAACUAGUAUUCAAACACCUCUGAAUUAUUAUCAAAAGUCAAACACUGUCUCUGAACUAGUAUCAAAAGUCAAACACUUUUCUGAACUUGUAUCAAAGUCAAAAGAAUCUAACUUCUGUCAUAUACAUCAAUAUCAAGCACUGUCAUCAAACUGUAGAAACAAAAAAGUCUAACGUCCCUUACAUGAACUUAAAUAUUUCAAACUCACAAAAAAAACACUUCAUACAUUUUUGUCUUAUAACCAUCACUGCUGCCUUUAGGUGCGACACAUCCUACAUAAGUAUGUCCAUCUUCUGUACUACAGAAAGAGCGUGGGUACAUUAUUCCCUUUAUACUUGUGUUACAAUAUCCUAUAUAAUUCCCAGAAUUGUUUAGAAAGUAUAUGUCAUUGUUUAAGUUUGACACAAUAAUACUGUCAGAUGAAGUAGUGAAUGCACGCAUUGGUUUGAAUGGUUUUUUGUCUGUGUUUACUUCUGGAUGUCCACUGAAGGUAUUUAGAACAUCUCCAUCCUCACUCAGUAUUACCACUCUGCCUCUGCUAUGUUUAGAUAACAUGUCCACUACACAGAUAUUACCAUUUUUUGUUCUUGUUAUAUUACACACAUCUGUAAAUAUAGGAUUUCCAUGUCUUUCAUAUUCGUAUGUAGUUUCAUGUUUCCCAUCUUUAUCCAUCACAACCACAACACGUCUUCCUACAGCUGGGUAAACUAGUUCCCCACUAUAAGCACCAACAGUGACUUUACCAUCUGAGUUUACAUGAACAGUUGAUAUCUCAUCUAAACCCUUUACUUCAUACAAAGAAUCAGUCAUUUCACCUGUCUGACCACUGAUCUGCUUCAGUCUAGGUCCUUCCGUAACUAAAAGUAGAUCUUUAGAUGGAGUCAAUGCCAUACCAUAGAUUUCAAUGUCUUUUUGAUCAAUUAUCUUCAAACUCCUCCCUUCUAUCUUAACUUUCUGUAGUACUUUCUGGUCAGUAAUCCACAAUGUAUCUUCAGAACAGGCUGCCAUAUAAAAAACAUGAGAGAUUUCAGUGUCAAACUGUUUUAAAAUUCUAAUAUCACCCUUAGCGGAAAUAUUUUCUAGUGAACCAAUGUUAUAAAGAGUUAUUUGUCCAGGAAGAAAUAUUGGAAUAAAAUCAAACUUUUUACAAGGUGGUGUGACUGUUUCCUCCAUUGAUUGAACUAACCCCAAACCAUCCACAAAGACUCUCUUGCCAUCUGUGGAUUGGAUGAUAUCAUCAACGACAGACUUUUUAGAAGCCAGACUUGCAAUGAGCAGGGACACCUCCUUUUCUUCUGUUUCAGUACAUC